CGGCGGACGGGUGAGUAACACGUGGGUAACCUACCUAUAAGACUGGGACAACUUCGGGAAACCGGAGCUAAUACCGGAUAAGAUAUCGAACCGCAUGGUUCGAUAGUGAAAGAUGGUUUUGCUAUCACUUAUAGAUGGACCCGCGCCGUAUUAGCUAGUUGGUGAGGUAACGGCUCACCAAGGCAACGAUACGUAGCCGACCUGAGAGGGUGAUCGGCCACACUGGAACUGAGACACGGUCCAGACUCCUACGGGAGGCAGCAGG
rnacentral:rRNA from 1 species